CCUACGGGUGGCAGCAGUGGGGAAUAUUGCGCAAUGGGCGAAAGCCUGACGCAGCGACGCCGCGUGAGGGAUGAAGGUCUUCGGAUCGUAAACCCCUGUCAGCAGGGAAGAACGGUCACUGUGCUAAUCAGCAGUCAAUUGACGGUACCUGCACAGGAACCACCGGCUAAAUCCGAGCCAGCAGCCGCGUUAAUACGGAGGGUGCGAGCGUUAAUCGGAAUUACUGGGCGUAAAGCGCUCGUAGGCGGUAUGUCAAGUCAAGGGUGAAAUCCCCGCGCUCAACGUGGGAACUGCCUUUGAAACUGGGGAGCUGGAGUGUGUGAGAGGUAAGUGGAAUUCCAGGUGUAGGGGUGAAAUGCGUAGAUAUCAGGAGGAACAUCAGUGGCGAAGGCGACUAUCUGGCACGUAACUGACGCUGAGGAGCGAAAGCGUGGGUAGCAAACAGGAUUAGAUACCCCUGUAGUC
rnacentral:rRNA from 1 species